rnacentral:rRNA from 1 species
GACGAACGCUGGCGGCGUGCUUAACACACGCAAGUCGAACGGAAAGGCCCCUUCGGGGGUACUCGAGUGGCGAACAGGUGAGUAACACGUGAGUAACCUGCCCUUGACUUCGGGAUAACUUCAGGAAACUGGGGCUAAUACCGGAUAGGAAUCCUUGCUGCAUGGUGGGGGUUGGAAAGCUUCGGCGGUUUUGGAUGGACUCGCGGCUUAUCAGCUUGUUGGUGGGGUAGUGGCUUACCAAGGCUUUGACGGGUAGCCGGCCUGAGAGGGCGACCGGCCACAUUGGGACUGAGAUACGGCCCAGACUCCUACGGGAGGCAGCAGUGGGGAAUAUUGCACAAUGGGCGGAAGCCUGAUGCAGCAACGCCGCGUGCGGGAUGACGGCCUUCGGGUUGUAAACCGCUUUCAGCAGGGGCGAAGCUUGUGGUGACGGUACCUGCAGAAGAAGCACCGGCUAACUACGUG